AUGAACGUUGGCGGCGUGCCUAACACAUGCAAGUCGAACGGGAAGCUAGACUUCGGUCUAGUGGAGAGUGGCGCACGGGUGAGUAACACGUAGCUUAUCUGCCCUCAAGAGCGGGAUAACGCACCGAAAGGUGUGCUAACACCGCAUAAGCUCACGCGAACUAGAACGGUGUGAGAAAAGCUGAGGCGCUUGAGGAUGAGGCUGCGGCCCAUCAGCUAGUUGGUGCGGUAAAAGCGCACCAAUGCGACGACGGGUAGGGGACCUGAGAGGGUGACCCCCCACACUGGGACUGAGACACGGCCCAGACUCCUACGGGAGGCAGCAGUGAGGAAUAUUGCACAAUGGACGGAAGUCUGAUGCAGCAACGCCGCGUGGGUGAAGAAGGUUUUCGGAUCGUAAAGCCCUUUUCUGCGUGACGAGGAAGGACGGUAGCGCAGGAAUAAGUGUCGGCUAACUACGUGCCAGCAGCCGCGGUAAAACGUAGGACGCAAACGUUAUCCGGAAUUACUGGGCGUAAAGCGCGCGCAGGCGGGAUCGCCAGUCACUCGUGAAAGCUCCCGGCUAAACUGGGAGAGGUCGGGUGAUACUGCGGUUCUGGAGGGUGGUAGAGGUAUGUGGAAUUCCGCGUGUAGUGGUGAAAUGCGUAGAGAUGCGGAGGAACACCAGUGGCGAAGGCGGCAUACUGGGCCACACCUGACGCUGAGGCGCGAAAGCAUGGGUAGCGAACGGGAUUAGAAACCCCGGUAGUCCAUGCCGUAAACGAUGUGCACUAGAUGUUCGUGCGUCGACAAGACGCGGGAGUGUCGCAGCAAACGCGAUAAGUGCACCGCCUGGGGAGUACGGUCGCAAGGCUAAAACUCAAAGGGAUUGACGGGGGCCCGCACAAGCAGCGGAGCGUGUGGUUUAAUUCGAGGCUACGCGAAGAACCUUACCCGGGCUUGACAUCCCGCGCUAGCUUGCGAAAGCAAGUGUUCCUUCGGGACGCGGAGACAGGUGCUGCAUGGCUGUCGUCAGCUCGUGUCGUGAGAUGUUCGGUUAAGUCCGAAAACGAGCGCAACCCCCGGGUUCAGUUACAAGUGUCUGAACCGACUGCCUACGGCAAGUAGGAGGAAGGUGGGGAUGAUGUCAAGUCAGCAUGGCCUUUAUGUCCGGGGCUACACACACGCUACAAUGGCGCGUACAAUGGGUCGCGAAGCCGCGAGGUGGAGCCAAUCCUGCAAAGCGCGUCGUAGUUCGGAUCGUAGGCUGCAACUCGCCUGCAUGAAGUCGGAGUUGCUAGUAACCGCGAAUCAGCACGUCGCGGUGAAUACGUUCCCGGGCCUUGUACACACCGCCCGUCACGUCAUGGAAGUUGGUCACGCCUGAAGUCGAGAAGCUAACCUAACGGGGGCUACCGCCAAAGGCAGGGCCGAUGACUGGGACGAAGUCGUAA
rnacentral:rRNA from 1 species